UAACUUAAAGAUCCAGACCUCAUUUUCAUGCUACUUUUGUAGUUUAUGGUAAAAUAUUCUUGAUGCAACCGUAGGAGUAUUCAAUUCGAGAUCUUAUUAGCCAUCGUGUCAACUUCAAUGCCAUCGGACGAUCGCGAUCCUCUGUCAUAUAAAUCCUAUAAUGAGUAAUUACGUGUUGACUAAAGGUCACCGGAGGUUGAGUAUAGGGAUGGAGAAGAUGAUAGGAAAAUUGGUACAAGGUUGGCACCAUGGCACAACCACACUUUUGUCCGUGAUUUCAGGGAGGCUUCUUUGAUUUAUAAAGUUCAGGGGGGUUUUGGCAAAAUCUCUGAAAAGUCAAGGGCUUGCGAAAUUCACCCUAAAUAAAGAACAAGGAAAUGCACACAUGGAAGUUGAACAAGGAAAUGCACACAUGGAAGUUGAACUAACAGUAUUAGCAAGUGAUAGUGGUGUCCACAGAGAAAAUUCUAUGGAGAAUUGUCCAUGUACUGGUGUAGCCAUGAAAGUUUUCAGUCUAUAUCUACAUCUUGUGAUGCAUUGGAGUUCAAUCAUAAGCCACAAGAAUCUUACAGGUUGAGUUGUUUCCUUUUAGUCCUGAUAGCUACAAAUAUUGUUGUUGGAGGUCUCUUUCGGCAUCUGUUUCUUCUAAAAUCUCGGCUUUGCUUGAAGCAUCAACGUAUUUUCUCCGCGUGUGAAAAUCUUGAUCACAUUUCAUUCAUGUAGAUAAUGCAGCGAAUAUGAUUCCUGAAAUUUGAUGAUUUUGGUGGGAAGUCAUAGGUAAGCUACUGUAUAAAAGUAUUGCGGUAGCUAAUGACUGUUUGUUGAUGCAUUUAGAAAUUUACUAACUCAAUUUUGUCAGGCAUAUUUAUUGUUUUCAGAGGUUCAAAUAUUUUCAUUUGUUUUGAUA